AGCCUCGGCAGGGGGCUGAUUGCCUCUCUGAGGGGAGGCGGGCGGCUGCGGCCCGCCCUGCCAGCAUUCUGGAGAGUUCCUUCUCCAAAAUAAACCUCGCCUAAGCAUUUCAAUGUGCGGCCGAGCAUGAAGUACAGUCAACAAUUUUAUUCCAAGAAUGCAAAUGAAUCCCUGAGGGGCCAGGAAGAGGCGGAAUGCCCUGGCCCAGAAGCUUUUUUUUUUUUUUUUUUAAGAGUGUGAGUGGGACACAGCAAAUUCCACCGCCUCGAGCCAGAAUUGGGGAAACUGAGGCUGGGGCAUCAGCCCAAGGUCGCAGAGCCGGGAAAAGGCAGAGCGGGCUGGAACGUGGCUGCCAGACGCCUUCCACCCCGCAUAGAACCACCCCACCAGGGUGCUAUUCCUGUGCACAGAGCACGCUCCCCGGUGUAGGCCAGUAGCCCCGGAAGGACAGAUGUGUGAGAUGGAGAUCCAAAGACGCUUCGGAAGGCUGCUGAACACAAACACGCUCGCGUUGGCCCUCUGCUGGCAGCAGCCGGGUGCGCGGCGAUGGUCAGAUAAGCUGCUUCUCCGUCCUUUUCAACAUUUCUGAGCCCGCUAUUGACCAGGCCAGCUUGCCUUCGGGAAUCUCCCUCCGCACACUCCAAGGCGUGUUCCAGCUGACCCCCCCUUGGUGUGAUGGCUCAAAUCCCAAGUCCUCCACUCACCAGCUCUAAGACACCGGAUGAGACAUUUAACCUCUUCUUGUCCUGAUUUCCUCCUCUGUAAAAUGGGGAGCACGCUGGGACCUGCUUCGGAGCGGUUACGAGUUUGAAAUGAGUUCAGAUACAGAAAACACUUGGAACAGCGCCUGCGUGCUCCAGGAAAAGAAUUCACAUAAAGUAGAAACCUAAGGAAAUGAGCAUUGCAGUGACACUCAAAGAACCCCGAGACAGGGAGACGUGGAAAACAGAUGUGCAUUUGGAGGUGAAAGAAGCUGAAAAAUCGUUGCUGGCAGUGCUGUUCCUGGAAGGGAGACGAAGGCGGGAAGACACAUUUGGGUUACAGGAAAAGGCGGCCCCUCAUGCAGCAUCUUUAGUCUAUAAGGGCCCAGGGCUCUGCACUGAAAGCACUAAUUGGAUUUCAUUAAAGCGAAAUAGAUUUCCUAGCACUAGAAGAGCCAGUUCAUUAAUUUCACACAUGCUCUACUGGAGGAAGGCAUGGGGAAGGGCAGCCAGCCCCAGUCUCCCCAGGCUAAGAUCAGUGCUGGGAGCCCGCUGCAGUUUGGUGCAGAGCCUGGAUUCUGAGCACCUGCUCCAUGCCAGUGCCUGGGCUGGCCAUCGGGGGUGCAGUGAUGAACCAGAUACAACCACCACCUCCGGUAACUCGGUCUUGGAGGAGGCAGCCACACAAGGCAGGGCGUGCACAGUGACAGGGUGCUGGACCAGGAUGUGUUCCAGGUACUGGACAUCCAGUGGAGCAGACCGACCUGGUGCUGGAGCUGAGAAGAGUGGUCUGGGCCGGAAUUUUAAAUUGGGGA